GAUGAACGCUGGCGGCGUGCCUAAUACAUGCAAGUCGAGCGGACGGACGAGAAGCUUGCUGCGCUGAUGAUAGCGGCGGAGGGGAGAGUAACGCGUGGAAAACCUACCUAUAAGAGUGGGAUAACUACGGGAAACGGGAGCUAAUACCGGAGAAUAUUCUGAAGCGCAGGGGGGAAAGGUGAAAUACGGCGGUGCGGGCAGGUAUAGAUGGAUCCGCGCUGCAUUAGCGAGUUGGUAAGGUAACGGCUUACCAAGGCAACGAGGCAUAGCCGACCUGAGAGGGUGAUCGGCCACACUGGAACUGGGACACGGUCCAUACUCCUACGGGAGGCCCCAGUAUGCAAUCGUCGGCAGUGGGCGAAAGCCUGACGGAGCAACGCCGCGUCGGUGAUGGAGGUCUUCCGAUCGUAAUGCUCUGUUAUUAGGUAAGAACAUCUGUGUACGUAACUGUGCCCAGCUUGACGGUACCUAAUCAGAAAGCCCCGGCUAACUACGUG
rnacentral:rRNA from 1 species